rnacentral:sRNA from 14 species
CUGCCAGCCCUGAAGGCUGAAGCCCUCUCAUAGCCACAGGAAAGAUACAGUGAAUGCAACAGUGGGAUAUACCUCACUGCAUUGCCACGCACAUGUUGGCCUCAAGCCUAUUUCAGAAGGGUCACCUCUAGACUGGCAGAAUAAUUUGAUAUUACAUCCUUUGCUGCUUAUCUCUAUUUGGAAAAG